rnacentral:rRNA from 1 species
AAACUCAAAUGAAUUGACGGGACCCGCACAAGCGGUGGAUGAUGUGGUUUAAUUCGAUGCAACGCGAAAACCUUACCCACCUUUGACAUGUACGGAACCCUUUAGAGAUAGAGGGGUGCUCGAAAGAGAGCCGUAACACAGGUGCUGCAUGGCUGUCGUCAGCUCGUGUCGUGAGAUGUUGGGUUAAGUCCCGCAACGAGCGCAACCCUUGUCAUUAGUUGCUACAUUCAGUUGGGCACUCUAAUGAGACUGCCGGUGACAAGCCGGAGGAAGGUGGGGAUGACGUCAAGUCCUCAUGGCCCUUAUAGGUGGGGCUACACACGUCAUACAAUGGCUGGUACAAAGGGUUGCCAACCCGCGAGGGGGAGCCAAUCCCAUAAAGCCAGUCGUAGUCCGGAUCGUAGUCUGCAACUCGACUACGUGAAGUCGGAAUCGCUAGUAAUCGUGGAUCAGAAUGUCACGGUGAAUACGUUCCCGGGUCUU